CAGUGGGGAAUAUUGCACAAUGGGCGCAAGCCUGAUGCAGCCAUGCCGCGUGUAUGAAGAAGGCCUUCGGGUUGUAAAGUACUUUCAGCAGUGAGGAAGGUGGUGUCGUUAAUAGCGGCAUCAUUUGACGUUAGCUGCAGAAGAAGCACCGGCUAACUCCGUGCCAGCAGCCGCGGUAAUACGGAGGGUGCGAGCGUUAAUCGGAAUUACUGGGCGUAAAGCGCAUGCAGGUGGUUUGUUAAGUCAGAUGUGAAAGCCCGGGGCUCAACCUCGGAAUUGCAUUUGAAACUGGCAGACUAGAGUACUGUAGAGGGGGGUAGAAUUUCAGGUGUAGCGGUGAAAUGCGUAGAGAUCUGAAGGAAUACCGGUGGCGAAGGCGGCCCCCUGGACAGAUACUGACACUCAGAUGCGAAAGCGUGGGGAGCAAACAGGAUUAGAUACCCUGGUAGUCCACGCCGUAAACGAUGUCUACUUGGAGGUUGUGGCCUUGAGCCGUGGCUUUCGGAGCUAACGCGUUAAGUAGACCGCCUGGGGAGUACGGUCGCAAGAUUAAAACUCAAAUGAAUUGACGGGGGCCCGCACAAGCGGUGGAGCAUGUGGUUUAAUUCGAUGCAACGCGAAGAACCUUACCUACUCUUGACAUCCUCAGAAG
rnacentral:rRNA from 1 species